rnacentral:rRNA from 1 species
AUGAACGCUGGCGGCGUGCCUAACACAUGCAAGUCGAACGGAGUCCAGCCUUUAAGACCUUCGGGUCACAGAGGGGAAGACUGAGUGGCGGACGGGUGAGUAACACGUGGGCAACCUGGCUCAUAGAGGGGGAUAACAGAGAGAAAUUUCUGCUAAUACCGCAUAAGCACACACUGCCGCAUGGCAGAGGGUGAAAAGAGAAUCGCUAUGAGAUGGACCCGCGUCUGAUUGGCCAGUUGGCAGGGUAAGAGCCUACCAAAGCGACGAUCAGUAGCCGAUCUGAGAGGAUGAACGGCCACAUUGGGACUGAGACACGGCCCAAACUCCUACGGGAAGCAGCAGUGGGGGAUAUUGCACAAUGGGGGGAACCCUGAUGCAGCGACGCCGCGUGAGUGAAGAAGUAUUUCGGUAUGUAAAGCUCUAUCAGCAGGGAAGAUAAUGACAGUACCUGAAUAAGAAGCCCCGGCUAACUACGUG